CCUACGAGUGGCAGCAGUGGGGAAUAUUGCACAAUGGGGGAAACCCUGAUGCAGCGACGCCGCGUUAGCGAGGCAGUAUUUCUGUAUGUAAAGCUCUAUCAGCAGGGACGAAAAACGACGGUCCCUGACUCCGCCGCCCCGGCUAACUACGUGCCAGCAGCCGCGGUACUACGUAGGUGGCAAGCUGUAUCCGAAUUUAUUGGGUUAAAAGGUUGCGCAGGCGGAUUUUUAAGUCAGCGGUAAAAUCGUGGGGCUCACCCCCAUCCAGCCGUUGAAACUGGGGAUCUAGAGUGUGCGAGAGGUAGGCGGAAUGCGUGGUGUAGCGGUGAAAUGCAUAGAUAUCACGCAGAACCCCGAUUGCGAAGGCAGCAUACCGGUGCACAACUGACGCUCAGGCACGAAAGCGUGGGUAUCGAACAGGAUUAGAUACCCGAGUAGUC
rnacentral:rRNA from 1 species